UACGGAGGAUGCAAGCGUUAUCCGGAAUGAUUGGGCGUAAAGCGCGCGCAGGUGGUUCCUUAAGUCUGAUGUGAAAGCCCACGGCUCAACCGUGGAGGGUCAUUGGAAACUGGGGAACUUGAGUGCAGAAGAGGAAGGUGGAAUUCCAAGUGUAGCGGUGAAAUGCGUAGAGAUUUGGAGGAACACCAGUGGCGAAGGCGACUUUCUGGUCUGUAACUGACACUGAGGCGCGAAAGCGUGGGGAGCAAACAGG
rnacentral:rRNA from 1 species